rnacentral:misc_RNA from 1 species
AAAAGUCCUGCUACCCGUCGGAAUAAUCGACGCACCGGGUCGAGCUGAGUCGGUGUCAGACUACCAAGUCCGACUGAUAGCGACUGUAAAUGAUGAAAUGAUGACUUGGAAGUGCGGUUUGGAUGGUGUACAAUUUGUUUAGACAAUGAAAUGGACUGUAUUAUACUGGAUUGUGGUCAUUUAUACUGCUGCUCAGGAUGUGCCGAAAGAUUAUAAAGGAGUGUUCCAUUUGUCGGGGCAAACUUUCGAAAGUUGUAAAAAUUUUCAAAGCAUAAUCAAUUUGCUGCAAGAGAAAUUGGACUUCGAAGUUUGAAUAUCCAUGAUACGCACAUGUGUUUCACCUCCAGCUAAGCGGUGUAUUUUAAGUGUGCAAGUGGAGAGUUUUCAAGCCGCUGUGACGCAAUUUUUCAGAACCUUAUUUUAUAUUCAGAGUUCAGAGAUUCAGAGAUCAAUAAAAUAUCACACAUAU